rnacentral:lncRNA from 1 species
GGAAAAAUAACCCCCUCCUCCAACAAAAUAUUCUGGAAGUGUAAUCAUUACACUUAUCUUCCCUAAGCUAUUUAAAAGACUGAAGCUGGGAAAAAGGAAAGAAAAAAAAAAAGAAAAGAAAAAAGGAGAAAAAAAAGCUGAAGAAAUGUUUUUCCUAUUAUUGCUUAACAAGAAAUAGGCAACAAAUCAAAAGAAGAUGCAGUAAAAACAAAAACACAGAAAACCCCAUGUCUGCUAUCUUGAUAAGAUGCAGAACUCACACACUUUGUACUGCUUGCUCCUGA